AGGAACAAUUCAGGUGGUCGUUUUUGACUUCGUGUUGAGGACUGCUCUGAUCUGCCUCCAAACGACGGUCAUCUUGGAGAGGGUCUUUGGAGACAGAAGAUUAUAAUAUUUGUAAUAGUAAAUUUAAAACAGCUUGAUUUCAUACUAAAUCAAGUUUGUUGGCUUUACAGUUUACACAUAUGCUUCAGAAUUUCAAGACUAACUCAUAACAUAUGUUGUAACCGAUUGCACCACCUCUUUAAUCAUAAUCUCCUUCCCUGCUACACUUACUGCACAUUUAGUACCCCGGAUUGAGGGCGUCGAGACUGGACACAGUCUCAUAAUAAGAAGAAACUCAUGUUCGACAGCUUCAGGGACUGACUUUAAUGGGCUAACAGAGUCCCAAAAACGUCAUGCACACCGUCUUACACAGCGACCCAAAAAUUGAUUGGGUUUUUGCAAAUCAUCACAGAUUGGGUGUUUGCAAAUCACGACUCCAUAUCAGAUUGGGGAUUUACAGAUCGCGACUCCAUCUCAAAUUGGUAAUCUGCAAUCGUGAAUCCAUCUCUGAUUUGCCAAGCAUGAUCGAUUUGGCGUAUGGGUGACUCUUGAAUUGGUAAGAUCUGAUAUCAAUUUCACGUUUUUGCUUUGUGGUUCUUCUUCUUCUUCUUUUUUCUUUCUUUUCAAGGUUUAAGAAAUGGUUUUGAUCAACAUUGAGAUGAGUUUAGGUUUCUGUUUUUCUAGAUAGAUGUUGAAUAUAUGUUUGGGGUUGAUUGUUGAUCAUUAGUUUGUUAUACAAAUUUUUCUUUCUUCUGACUUUCUUGUGUUCUGUUCUUUCUUCUUCGUGUUUUAGUCCAAACUCUAAAACACCAAACAUGGGUCACGCAUCUUAUGGAAUUAAGCUAGGCUUACAGAAUGCAGGACUCUUGUGGAAAUUAAGCCGGGGUAAGAUAGUCCUUGGAAACAAAUGUGUGGUUAGGGUCUUAUUCUUCCAAUUCUUCAUCUUGUUUCUCGUUUUCUCCAUAAUAAAUUGAAAGGAUUCAGUUUUUGAAUAACUCACCUCCGUUUGGAGCCCCAGGUUUUUAUCAUGCUUGUCCACUCGUGCAAUUCCUAACACAACAGCUAAUUGGUCCUGAACAGCUCGGUCAACAUUCUUUGGGAAGCAUAUGCUACUUUCCGGAAAGUUGACGCAUUGCCCCGAAGCUUCUUUAUACUACCUUAGAAUUUCAUUCAUGUUUCCACACUCUACAGUAUCUACCCUCAUGAAAAUGAAAGAAUCAUCUGUAAAGAACAAGUAGUUUAUAAAGGUGCUCCUGAAGCUAUAACAACACCAUAUAUUCGACCUCCACUUCAGCUUCAGUAAGCAUACGUGAUAACCUCUCUGCACACAAUGGCCACGUUUGGUAGAGUAGACAAGAUUGGAUUAGGAUUUUAAACCAGAUUUGACUAGACUAGAUUGGAUAUAAGAUUGCAUCUCUGCAAACCACUCUUGUGUUUGGGUGACAGGAUUAGGAACAAGAUAACCAGAAGAUAAGAAA